rnacentral:misc_RNA from 1 species
UUUCCGUAGGUGAACCUGCGGAAGGAUCAUUAUUGGAUUUUGAAACUUCAGGCUGCUGCUGGCUCUCCUCGGAGGGCAUGUGCACGCUUGUUGUCCAUUAUUUCUCCCACUGUGCACAAAUUGUAGACCUUUCAGUAGGCCUAUGUUGUUUUUCACAAUCUCUGAAUGUAAUAGAAUGGUUUUGAAUCUCGGGAAAUACAAUACAACUUUCAGCAACGGAUCUCUUGGCUCUCGCAUCGGUGAAGAACGCAGC